rnacentral:misc_RNA from 1 species
AUCUCCAUACCCAAUUGUGUAGGAGCUGAUGGUUUGGUUAAAUGGGUAUGGAGAUGAUGAAGAUAACUCUCAUAUUGCUGCCUGGAGAACUAAGAAACAAAGCCCAACUGAGUGACGGAGUUGAAUGUGCUGGUAUACUCCCGUUGAGUGUUUAGGGGCCAGUUUACUACCUUUGGCCGUACCUUGGAGAUCCACACAAAGAGAAACAGUAGUGGGUUCUGGUAGAUAAAUAGUUAGUUAAUUAGGUGGCUCACAAUGAAGCUCUA